rnacentral:rRNA from 1 species
UACGGAGGGUGCAAGCGUUAUCCGGAUUUACUGGGUUUAAAGGGUGCGUAGGCGGGCUUUUAAGUCAGCGGUGAAAUCUCCGGGCUCAACCCGGAAAUUGCCGUUGAUACUAUUAGUCUUGAAUUAAGUUGAGGUGGGCGGAAUAUGUCAUGUAGCGGUGAAAUGCUUAGAUAUGACAUAGAACACCGAUAGCGGAGGCAGCUUACUACGCGAUUAUUGACACUGAGGCACGAAAGCGUGGGGAUCAAACAGG